GGUGCUGUAGCAUAGCUGGUUAACGUGCCUGUCUAGUAAACAGGAGAUCCCUGGUUCAAAUCUCAGUGGUGCCU
rnacentral:tRNA from 1 species